rnacentral:lncRNA from 1 species
AUUCUCUAUAACCACCAGCUCCCAUAAAGAUCAUUCUUUUUAAAGCCUUGUUUUUUUACUAAGGAAUGUUGAUUUUCUAGAUACAUCACUGCAGGAUGGAGUCAGGCAAAGAAUAAUUAUUGUCAUUCAAGUCAGGGUUUCAUAAUCUAUCUGGGUGCUAAGAGCCACCCCAAUUGGGAAGAGUGCAUGUGUUAUAAUAAAAUUAUCUAUUCACCAGGCAAGGAAAGCAAUAACUUUGUAACAUGUCAUAUGUCUGUGUUCACAUAUAUACACAGCUGGGGAGCAAUGGUAAACAGUUUCCUAAACACUCACUAAAUUCAUGCUUAUCAAGUGUCUUAUUCCUUAAACCAAUAGUCUACACAGACAUUUUUACUGUACUCACUCCAAAGUAAAUAAUUUUUGAGCAUUUAACCUCAGCAAAUUAGGUUGAACCAUAUGAAAUUGACAAUUUGUGGGUCAAAAAUACUUGAACAUUGGCAAUUUCAUAUUUUUCAACCUUCCAAUUUUAUUUAUUAGUUACAAAUAUGUACAUAUGUACCAUCAUCAUUAAUUAA